rnacentral:rRNA from 1 species
UACGUAGGGGGCGAGCGUUGUCCGGAUUCAUUGGGCGUAAAGCGCGUGUAGGCGGCUCGGUAAGUCUGCUCUGAAAGCCUGGGGCUCAACCCUGGGAGGCGGGUGGAUACUGCUGAGCUCGAGUCCGGAAGAGGCGAGUGGAAUUCCUGGUGUAGCGGUGAAAUGCGCAGAUAUCAGGAGGAACACCAAUGGCGAAGGCAGCUCGCUGGGACGGUACUGACGCUGAGACGCGAAAGCGUGGGGAGCAAACAGG